rnacentral:rRNA from 1 species
CAGCCGCCGCGGUAACACAGAGGGUGCGAGCGUUAAUCGGAUUUACUGGGCGUAAAGCGUGCGUAGGCGGCUUCUUAAGUCGGAUGUGAAAUCCCUGAGCUUAACUUAGGAAUUGCAUUCGAUACUGGGAAGCUAGAGUAUGGGAGAGGAUGGUAGAAUUCCAGGUGUAGCGGUGAAAUGCGUAGAGAUCUGGAGGAAUACCGAUGGCGAAGGCAGCCAUCUGGCCUAAUACUGACGCUGAGGUACGAAAGCAUGGGGAGCAAACAGGAUUAGAUACCCGUGUAGUCCCUGUCUCUUAUAC